UACGUAGGGGGCAAGCGUUGUCCGGAUUUAUUGGGCGUAAAGAGCGUGUAGGCGGCCUGACAAGUCUGCUGUGAAAACUCGAGGCUCAACCUCGAGACGCCGGUGGAAACUGCAAAGCUAGAGUCCGGAAGAGGAGAGUGGAAUUCCUGGUGUAGCGGUGAAAUGCGCAGAUAUCAGGAGGAACACCGGUGGCGAAGGCGGGUCUCUGGGCCGAUACUGACGCUGAGGAGCGAAAGCGUGGGGAGCGAACAGG
rnacentral:rRNA from 1 species